UCCUCAUUGGUCUAGUGGUCAUGAUUUCCGCUUGUCAUUGAUUCCCAAUUUCAAGCGCGGGAGACCAGGGUUCGAUUCCCUGAUGGGGAG